GCUCAGGAUGAACGCUAGCGGAAGGCUUAAUACAUGCAAGUCGAGCGGUAGAGUGACUUCGGUUCCUUGAGAGCGGCGCACGGGUGAGUAACGCGUACAUGACCUACCUUUAAGAACGGGAUAGCCCUGGGAAACUGGGAUUAAUAUCGUAUGUGAUAAUAUGUAUAAAUGUAUAUUAUUAAAGCUGAGGCGCUUAGAGAUGGGUGUGCGUCUGAUUAGCUAGUUGGUGAGGUAACGGCUCACCAAGGCGACGAUCAGUAGGGGGCGUGAGAGCGUGAUCCCCCACACGGGUACUGAGACACGGACCCGACUCCUACGGGAGGCAGCAGUAAGGAAUAUUGGUCAAUGGAGGGAACUCUGAACCAGCCAUCCCGCGUGCAGGAUGAAGGUCCUAUGGAUUGUAAACUGCUUUUGGUAGAGAAGAAAAGCCUUCAUUAAUGAGGGUCUGACGGUAUCUACGGAAUAAGC
rnacentral:rRNA from 1 species